CCAGUCUUUGGGUUCACAGCUUGGCUCUACAUUCAUUGCUGGAGGAAUCCAAGCCUCACAAAAGACCGCUUUUAAAGAAAAACUCUAUUUUUCUUAGAAGAACUAGAAUAUGUAACACCAUUGUGAGAAAUAAAACCCCAAGGUGAACAAGAUUGAAAGUGAAGGCAGCGCUCUAAGGAGGAAGCCAGCUGGCUUGAAUGGUGAUGUAAACAGCCUUGGAGCUUUAACCAAACUUGAGUAAGAACUCCCUGACUUGGAAACACUCAAGUUUCCCACACAUGACUGGAUGGCCCUGGCCACACUGGGAACGGAAUGGGGGCCUCCCAUUGGAACUCAGGGUGGAGGGGGAAGCUCGACCAGCUAUUGUGGCCCCCACUUCCAUUGACAAAAUAAGGGAUGAAGGCCCAGAGGGGUUAAGUAACUUGCCUGAAGGUGGUAGAGAAAUGAUUUAAAUCCAGGCUGUCUCCAGAUCUGCUCUCUUAACCACAGCAUCACAGCCUCUGGACCCACAUGGAAGACCCUGUGGCUGAAUCUGCAGGUGGGUCACCUCAGAUUCAUCCUUCAUCCUUUCCUCUUUAACUAUUUUUCUUCUGUUUUGAUCACCUCCUCUUGAAGAGUGAGGGAUUCCCAUCCUAGGGAUGCAGGCAUGGCUGAAUGAAACAUGAUACCUGAC
rnacentral:lncRNA from 10 species